UACGAAGGGUGCAAGCGUUACUCGGAAUUACUGGGCGUAAAGCGUGCGUAGGCGGUUCGUUAAGUCUGCCGUGAAAGCCCCGGGCUCAACCUGGGAAUUGCGGUGGAUACUGGCGGGCUAGAGUACGGUAGAGGGUGGUGGAAUUCCCGGUGUAGCAGUGAAAUGCGUAGAGAUCGGGAGGAACAUCUGUGGCGAAGGCGGCCACCUGGACCAGUACUGACGCUGAGGCACGAAAGCGUGGGGAGCAAACAGG
rnacentral:rRNA from 1 species